CCUACGGGUGGCUGCAGUAAGGAAUAUUGGGCAAUGGGCGAAAGCCUGACCCAGCAACGCCGCGUGGAGGAUGAAGGCCUUCGGGUCGUAAACUCCUUUUGUCGGGGACGAGGAAGGACGGUACCCGGCGAAUCAGUCACGGCUAACUACGUGCCAGCAGCCGCGGUAAAACGUAGGUGGCAAGCGUUAUCCGGAUUUACUGGGCGUAAAGCGUGUGCAGGCGGGACGUCAAGUGGUGUAUGAAAGCACCCGGCUCAACCGGGCGAGGUUAUGCCAGACUGGCGUUCUGGAGGCUGAGAGAGGGACAUGGAAUUCCGGGUGUAGUGGUGAAAUGCGUAGAGAUCCGGAGGAACUCCAGAGGCGAAGGCGGUGUCCUGGCUCAGACCUGACGCUCAGACACGAAAGCAUGGGUAGCGAACGGGAUUAGAUACCCGAGUAGUC
rnacentral:rRNA from 1 species